rnacentral:rRNA from 1 species
GAUGAACGCUAGCGGGAGGCCUAAUACAUGCAAGUCGAACGGUAACAGGGUAGCAAUACCGCUGACGAGUGGCGUACGGGUGCGUAACGCGUACACAAUCUACCUCAUACUGGGGCAUACCCUUUGGAAACGAAGAUUAAUUCCCCAUAAUAUAUACGAAAGGCAUCUUUUGUAUAUUAAAGCUCAGGCGGUACGAGAUGAGUGUGCGUCCGAUUAGGUAGUUGGUGAGGUAACGGCUCACCAAGCCUACGAUCGGUAGCUGGUCUGAGAGGAUGAUCAGCCACACGGGCACUGAGACACGGGCCCGACUCCUACGGGAGGCAGCAGUAGGGAAUAUUGGACAAUGGACGCAAGUCUGAUCCAGCCAUCCCGCGUGAAGGAUUAAGGCCCUCUGGGUUGUAAACUUCUUUCUCUGGGAUAAAACUCCGAUUCUUCGGAGCCUGAAGGUACCAGAGGAAUAAGCACCGGCUAACUCCGUGCCAGCAGCCGCGGUAAAGUAGACGU